AGGCUGGAGCCCUCUGCUUGGGAGAUGCGUUUCUCUGCCACGGUGUCAGUUGUCAUGCCUUAGCGGAGUGCCCGAGGGGAGGGGCAGGAGGCCCCUUGGAUGGGCUGGCACUGCGCCCCUGCUGCUGUCAGAAUGACUCAGAUCCCCUCCUGGCACCAGCCUGCUCAGGCAGUGCAAGCUGUUCCUUUGGCUCCUGGAGAUUGGGCUGGUUCUUCACUUCUUUCUCCCCUAGGACUGAGGCCAGGGAGGAGGGGUGCAGAUUUCUGUGUUUCCACCCUUUUCUCUUCUCCCAGCACAGGGGUGCGAGAGGAGGAAGUGGAGGCUGCAGUGCUGGGCUCUGGGUUCAUUCCCUGUGAUUCCUCUGGGCUGCCCCAAGUCCUGCUCAGCACAUACACAACAGGACACCAGGCGUGCUGGACAAAUGACCAGGCAGUGUGGUACUUGAAUGCAAGGGUUUCCUGAAAAGUUACCAUCAAAAACUGGGUCAGGUGGACGAAUGCAGAUGGAGCAUUGGCAGUGAUUUCCUCUGAGUAAUGACGUGCCCUAAGAUUGUUCAGCACAGAGGACUUAAGCCACAGAAGGGAAAAGAAACGUUGAAAUCAGCCAAGGGAAGAAGCACAUAGUCUAGGAACAAUUCAAAAUGUGGAGAUCCAGCUGGGUGCAGUGGCUCAUGCCUGUAAUCCCAGCACUUUGGGAGGCAGAGGCAUCUUCCUGGAGACAGGAAGGUAGGCAUUGUGGAAUCAGCGGUGCGUAGAACAGUGAGGAUUUGGGGCUGAACCCAGCCCAGGUGGGACAAGCCGUGGCACCAGCCGGACUGCAGUCUGAUGGAACUUCCCCUUCCUGCCCAGCAGAUGGCGAGCGUGUGCUGCUGGUGCCUCUUUCCAAAGGACGUUGAAUUGCUUGACAGGUGUUCCAGGUGUUCUUUACUUUAUGAAUGAAGCCGGAGCAGCCCACCUUCCUGCAUCUCUACCACCAUGGCACCAUGCCCUGUGAUGGGUGGGCUGGAGUCAAAUACGUAGCAGGCAACCAGGGUCAGUUUGUGGCCACUGCUGCCCCCUCUUCCUACAGUCUCCUCACUGAGUGCCCCUUCCCUGUUGGGUUCAACACAUCUGUGCUCCUGUAAGCCCUCAGCCUCCUGGUUCUCUUCCUCAACUUCUACCACCAGACACAUCUGAGAAGCAAGCAAGAGAGGCUGAACUAGGAGCAGGACCCAGGGACUGAAACCAUCACAGCAUCCCCACAGAGAAUUGGGUGGAAGGCAGCGUGGCUUCCAGCUUACUGGUGCUGAGCAGAUUUCUCUGGGUCUCCAUUGUAUCCUCUGAAGGAAGGAGGAGGAUUGCCUUCUGUCCAGAUCUCAGGAUCAAACAAAUAGGUCCAACUUCCUGUGCUCACUUCAGUUAGAGCACUUCUCAUGUGACUUUGUAGCUUUGUGUGCAUCUCCUUCCUCUACUAGACCUAAGCCCCUCACGGGAGGGACUCUCUUAUUCUUGAUGUUCCCCACACCUGGAAUUUCAAUAAACAUCUCAAUAAA
rnacentral:sRNA from 1 species